rnacentral:rRNA from 1 species
GAUGAACGCUGGCGGCGUGCUUAACACAUGCAAGUCGAACGAUGAAGCUGGAGCUUGCUCUGGUGGAUUAGUGGCGAACGGGUGAGUAACACGUGAGCAACCUGCCCCUGACUCUGGGAUAACAGCCGGAAACGGCUGCUAAUACCGGAUAUGCACCAUGAACGCAUGUUCUGUGGUGGGAAAGAUUUUUCGGUUGGGGAUGGGCUCGCGGGCUAUCAGCUUGUUGGUGAGGUAAUGGCUCACCAAGGCGUCGACGGGUAGCCGGCCUGAGAGGGUGACCGGGCAAAAUGGGACUGAGACACGGCCCAGACUCCUACGGGAGGCAGCAGUGGGGAAUAUUGCACAAUGGGCGAAAGCCUGAUGCAGCAACGCCGCGUGAGGGAUGACGGCCUUCGGGUUGUAAACCUCUUUUAGCAGGGAAGAAGCGAGAGUGACGGUACCUGCAGAAAAAGCGCCGGCUAACUACGUG